rnacentral:rRNA from 1 species
UGGGGAAUCUUGCGCAAUGGGCGAAAGCCUGACGCAGCGACGCCGCGUGGGUGAUGAAGGCCUUCGGGUUGUAAAGCCCUGUGGGAAGGGACGAAUAACGUGAAUCUAAUACAUUCAUGGAUGACGGUACCUUCUUAGCAAGCACCGGCUAACUCUGUGCCAGCAGCCGCGGUAAGACAGAGGGUGCAAACGUUGUUCGGAAUUACUGGGCGUAAAGCGCGUGUAGGCGGCGAGGAAAGUCGGGUGUGAAAGCCCUGGGCUCAACCCAGGAAGUGCAUUCGAUACUACUUUGCUAGAGUCCCGGAGAGGAUGGUGGAACUCUCGGUGUAGAGGUGAAAUUCGUAGAUAUCGAGAAGAACACCGGUGGCGAAGGCGGCCAUCUGGACGGUGACUGACGCUGAGACGCGAAAGCGUGGGGAGCAAACAGG